rnacentral:rRNA from 1 species
AGCUCCAAUAGCAUAUAUUAAAGUUGUUGCAGUUAAAAAGCUCGUAGUUGAAUUUCUGGGAGGGCGGCAAUGUCCGCUCGAUGCGUGUGCAGCGCUGCCCUUCCAUCCUUCUGUUAACGCUUCUCGGCCUUAACUGGUUGGUUGCGGGCUCAGAUAUUUUACCUUGAGAAAAUUAGAGUGUUUCAGGCAGGCUUGCGCCCGAAUACAUUAGCAUGGAAUAAUAGAAUAGGACUUUUGUCUCCUUUGUUGGUUUGAGGGACUGAAGUAAUGAUUAAUAGGGACAGUUGGGGGCAUUAGUAUUUAAUUGUCAGAGGUGAAAUUCUCGGAUUUGUUAAAGACUAACUAAUGCGAAAGCAUUUGCCAAGGAUGUUUUCA